UACGGAGGAUCCAAGCGUUAUCCGGAUUUAUUGGGUUUAAAGGGUGCGUAGGCGGCGCGCUAAGUCGGUGGUGAAAGACGGUGGCUCAACCAUCGCAGUGCCGUUGAUACUGGCGCGCUUGAAUGCGGAUGAGGUAGGCGGAAUGUGGCAAGUAGCGGUGAAAUGCAUAGAUAUGCCACAGAACACCGAUUGCGAAGGCAGCUUACCAAGGCGCUAUUGACGCUGAUGCACGAAAGCGUGGGGAUCGAACAGGAUUAGAUACCCUGGUAGUCCACGCCCUAAACGAUGAUGACUCGGUGUCGGCGAUACACAGUCGGCGCCCAAGCGAAAGCGUUAAGUCAUCCACCUGGGGAGUACGCCCGCAAGGGUGAA
rnacentral:rRNA from 1 species